rnacentral:lncRNA from 1 species
CUUUAUGAAUGUACAUAUCUAUACCGAUACAUUAUUACCUAUAGAAUUUGCCACAUGGUAGUUUCUCUUUUACUCUUUCCUUUUUUCCCUUUCUUACUUCCUGUUGCUUCGCCUUCCCACCUCUCAUCUCCACUCAAUGUUUCAUCUUUCCAACCACCCACUUUCCAAUUAAUAUGUUCACAUAGUUUAUUGUAAUCUAAAUCAAUCGCUUUCACAAUAAAAUAAAAUAAAAUAAAAUAAAAUCUAUUUAUCUAUACCUAUACAUUAUUCUUCAUAAAAUUUGUCACAUGGUAGUUUCUCUUUCGCUCUUUCCUUCUCUCUCCUCCUCACUUCUUGAUGCUUUGUCUUCCCACCUUUCAUCUCCACUCGAUGUUUCGUCUUUUCAACCGCCCACUUUUCAAUUAAUAUGUUCACAUAGUUUCUUGUCAUCUAAACCAAUCACUUUUACAAAAAAAAGAUAAAUAAAUAAAAUCUAUUUAUACUUUUUUUUCUCAUACUAUUUGUAUUUAUUGAUGUCACAUGGCAAGUCAAAAAAUUUUAAAAUUUUAUUUUAUUAAUUUUUUUUAUCUUCGAUAGUAUUAGUCUGUCAUAAUGUACGGAUAAUUUUA